rnacentral:rRNA from 1 species
UACGUAGGGUCCGAGCGUUGUCCGGAAUGAUUGGGCGUAAAGCGUCCGCAGGUGGCUAUGUAAGUCUGCUGUUAAAGAGUGAGGCUCAACCUCAUAAGAGCAGUGGAAACUACAUGGCUAGAGUGCGUUCGGGGCAGAGGGAAUUCCUGGUGUAGCGGUGAAAUGCGUAGAGAUCAGGAAGAACACCGGUGGCGAAAGCGCUCUGCUAGGCCGCAACUGACACUCAUGGACGAAAGCUAGGGGAGCGAAUGGG